rnacentral:rRNA from 1 species
ACGGGUGAGUAACGCGUGGGAACGUACCUUUUGGUUCGGAACAACUGAGGGAAACUUCAGCUAAUACCGGAUAAGCCCUUACGGGGAAAGAUUUAUCGCCGAAAGAUCGGCCCGCGUCUGAUUAGCUAGUUGGUGAGGUAAGAGCUCACCAAGGCGACGAUCAGUAGCUGGUCUGAGAGGAUGAUCAGCCACACUGGGACUGAGACACGGCCCAGACUCCUACGGGAGGCAGCAGUGGGGAAUAUUGGACAAUGGGCGCAAGCCUGAUCCAGCCAUGCCGCGUGAGUGAUGAAGGCCCUAGGGUUGUAAAGCUCUUUUGUGCGGGAAGAUAGUGACGGUACCGCAAGAAUAAGCCCCGGCUAACUUCGUGCCAGCAGCCGCGGUAAUACGAAGGGGGCUAGCGUUGCUCGGAAUCACUGGGCGUAAAGGGUGCGUAGGCGGGUCUUUAAGUCAGGGGUGAAAUCCUGGAGCUCAACUCCAGAACUGCCUUUGAUACUGAGGAUCUUGAGUUCGGGAGAGGUGAGUGGAACUGCGAGUGUAGAGGUGAAAUUCGUAGA